UACAGAGGGUGCAAGCGUUAAUCGGAAUUACUGGGCGUAAAGGGCGCGUAGGUGGCCUGUUAAGUCGAACGUGAAAUCCCCGGGCUCAACCCGGGAACUGCGUCCGAGACUGGCAGGCUCGAAUCCGGGAGAGGGAUGUGGAAUUCCAGGUGUAGCGGUGAAAUUCGUAGAUAUCGGGAGGAACACCAGUGGCGAAGGCGGCGAUCUGGGAAGAUACUGACGCUGAGGUGCGAAAGCGUGGGGAGCAAACAGG
rnacentral:rRNA from 1 species